rnacentral:rRNA from 1 species
AGCAGCCGCGGUAAUUCCAGCUCCAAUAGCGUAUAUUAAAGUUGGUUGCAGUUAAAAAGCUCGUAGUUGAAUUUCGGGAUCAAUAUGUCGGUCGUGCCUUCGGUACGUACUGGUAUCAUUGGUCUCUCCUUUUUGACGAACCAUGAUGUCAUUAAUUUGGUGUUAUGGGGAGUUAGGACUGUUACUUUGAAAAAUUUAGAGUAGUUUAAAGCAGGCUUUAGCUUGAAUACAUUAGCAUGGAAUAAUGAAAUAGGACGUUCGAACCUAUUUUGUUGGUUUCUUAGGAUCAACGUAAUGAUUAAUAGGGAUAGUUGGGGGCAUUAGUAUUCAAUUGUCAGAGUGAAAUUCUUGGAUUUAUUGAAGACUAACUACUGCGAAAGCAUUUUGCCAAGGAUGUUUUCAUUAAUCAAGAACGAAAGUUUAGGGGAUAGAAGACGAUCAGAUACCGUCGUAGUCUUAACCAUAAACU